rnacentral:rRNA from 1 species
UACGAAGGGGGCUAGCGUUGUUCGGAAUUACUGGGCGUAAAGCGCACGUAGGCGGAUACUUAAGUCAGGGGUGAAAUCCCGAGGCUCAACCUCGGAACUGCCUUUGAUACUGGGUAUCUCGAGUCCGGAAGAGGUGAGUGGAAUUCCGAGUGUAGAGGUGAAAUUCGUAGAUAUUCGGAGGAACACCAGUGGCGAAGGCGGCUCACUGGUCCGGUACUGACGCUGAGGUGCGAAAGCGUGGGGAGCAAACAGGG